UCUCCCAAGACUAACCCAGGAAGAAGUUGAAUCCCCGAAUAGGGAUUUAAAGAUAAAUAUGUAACUUUAAAUUCAUGUAUUAAAAGAGAAAGGCUGAAAAAUCUUAAGCUGUUACCUUAAGGAUUGUGAACUUCGAAAAUUUCAGGCAGGUCUCAGUGAAUUUAGAAAGUUCAUUUCGAGGGCGGAGUUCAAAAGUCUCGGACCCGAGGCCGCCACUGCGCGCAGCCUCCUGCCCGCCAUGGCCGCGCCUCGAACCCCACGCGCUCUGGCGGCCGCCGCGCCCGUGUCUGGCAAGGUCAAGCUGACGCUCCUGGGGAAGACGAUCCUGGCAGGCGGCCUGGCGGGCGGCAUCGAGAUCUACAUCACCUUCCCCACCCAGUAUGUGAAGACGCAGGGCAGCUGGACUAGCGCUCGCACCCGCUGCGGUACCAGAGCAUCCGGGACCGGUGUGGCCAAGUGUCUGCAACCAUGGCGUCCUGGGCCUGUACGCGGCCUCAGCUCCCUGCUCUACGGCUCCAUCCCCAAGGCGGCCGCCAGGUUCGGAAUGUUCUGGUUCCUCAGCAACCACAUGCGGGUUUCCCAGGGACGCUGGACAGCACGCGCGGGCUGCUGUGCUGCCUGGGCGCUGGAGUGGCUGAGGCCGUGGUGAUCAUGUGCCCCAUGAAGACCAUCAAGGUGAAGUUCAGCCGCCACACCUACCUAAACCCCCAGUACAGAGGAUUCUUCCGCGGGUUAGGAAGAUUGUGCGGUAACAAGGACUGAAGGGGCUGUAUCAGGGCCUCACAGUCACGGUGCUGAAGCAGGGCUGGAAUCAGGCCAUCUGCUUCUUCGUCAUGACAUUCCCUGCACAGCUGGUACGGAGGGGACAACCCCAACAAGCCUAUGAACGUGCUGAUCACUGGGGUCUUCGGAGCCAUGGUGUGCACAGCCAGCGUCUUUGGAAACACUCCUCUGGACGUGAUUAAGACCCGCAGGUAGGGCCUGGAGGCGCACAAAUACCGGAACUCGAUGGACUGCCUCUGGCAGAUCCUGAGAAAGGAGGAGCUCAAGGAUUCUACAAGGGCAUUGUCCCGCUCCGGGCCAGGUCAGCCUGGUUGUGGCCAUAGUGUUUAUCAUCUAUGAUGAGGUGGUGAAGCUGCUCAACGAAGUGUGGAAGACGGACUAAGCCCAGUGGGGCCACAGGGGACCGCCCCAGGCACCUCCAGAGGCCCCACCACCCUUGUCUCACAUGAUUCCAGUGCAGUAGUGCCAA